rnacentral:rRNA from 1 species
GACGAACGCUGGCGGCGUGCUUAACACAUGCAAGUCGAACGGAAAGGCCUGCUUUCCCUUGUGGAUUGCGGGUACUCGAGUGGCGAACGGGUGAGUAACACGUGAGUGAUCUGCCCCCAACUUGGGUAUAAGCCUGGGAAACUGGGUCUAAUUCCCGAUAGGACUGCAGGGUGGUGCCUGUGGUGGAAAACGAUUUUCUAGUGGUUGGGGAUGAGCUCGCGGCCUAUCAGCUUGUUGGUGGGGUAAUGGCCUACCAAGGCGGCGACGGGUAGCCGGCCUGAGAGGGUGGACGGCCGCAUUGGGACUGCGAUACGGCCCAGACUCCUACGGGAGGCAGCAGUGGGGAAUAUUGCACAAUGGGCGGAAGCCUGAUGCAGCGACGCCGCGUGGGGGAUGACGGCCUUCGGGUUGUAAACUCCUUUCGACCGCGAGGAAGCCACCUGGUUGGAAGGGUGGUGACGGUAGUGGUAGAAGAAGCACCGGCUAACUACGUG